rnacentral:rRNA from 1 species
UACGAAGGGGGCUAGCGUUGCUCGGAAUCACUGGGCGUAAAGGGCGCGUAGGCGGCCUCCGCAAGUCAGUUGUGAAAUCUCCGGGCUUAACCCGGAAAGGUCAACUGAUACUGCGGGGCUAGAGUGCAGAAGGGGCAACCGGAAUUCUCGGUGUAGCGGUGAAAUGCGCAGAUAUCGAGAGGAACACCUGCGGCGAAGGCGGGUUGCUGGGCUGACACUGACGCUGAAGUGCGAAAGCUAGGGGAGCGAACGGG